UACUAACAAGGUAUUGUAAUAAGGUUUUAAUUGAAUGCUAAAAGAAUGGAAUUACAGGGAAAAGUUUUUUUAAAUUUAAUAAUUGAAGUUAUUUUAAUUUGUGAAGAAACAAUUAUAUAAAUUAAAGACAAGAAGACCCUAAGAAUUUAAGAAUUUUUAUUAAUAUAUUAUAUGUAUAUAUAUAUAAAUAAAAUUCUUAGUUGGGGCAACUAAAAAAUAUAUUUAACUUUUUUUUUUUAAAAAAUGACCUAUUAUUAAUGAUAAUAUGAAAAAAAUACUCUAGGGAUAACAGCGUAAUAAUUUUUGAUAGAUCUUAUAGACAAAAUAGUUUGCGACCUCGAUGUUGGAUUAGGAUACUUUUUUAAUGAAGAUGUUAAAAAAAAAAGUUUGUUCAACUUUUAAAUUCCUACAUGAUCUGAGUUUAAACCGUGACAAUGAGGA
rnacentral:rRNA from 1 species